GACGAACGCUGGCGGCGUGCCUAAUACAUGCAAGUCGAGCGGACUUAUCCGGGUAGCUUGCUAUUUGGAUAAGUUAGCGGCGGACGGGUGAGUAACACGUGGGUAAUCUGCCUCGUAGUUUGGGAUAACAGGCCGAAAGGUUUGCUAAUACCGGAUAAGUUCAUGUUAUUGCAUAAUAGCAUGAAGAAAGGGGAAACCCGCUAUGAGAUGAGCCCGCGCCCCAUUAGCUAGUUGGUGGAGUAACAGCCUACCAAGGCGACGAUGGGUAGCCGGCCUGAGAGGGUGGACGGCCACACUGGGACUGAGACACGGCCCAGACUCCUACGGGGGCAGCAGUAGGGAAUAUUGCACAAUGGGGGAAACCCUGAUGCAGCGACGCCGCGUGAGUGAAGAAGUAUUUCGGUAUGUAAAGCUCUAUCAGCAGGGAAGAAAAUGACGGUACCUGACUAAGAAGCCCCGGUAACUACGUG
rnacentral:rRNA from 1 species